UGGCUUUUGCCUCCCAUGUUUAGUCAGAAUAGUGGUUAUUCCAUCCAUUCGUUACACACAUGGGACAUGAGGGUUCCUCGAGAGUUGAAGGCCCUUCUGUGCUUCUCAUAGUUUUGGAACUACAUUUUUGUCUAAUGUUU